CCCCUUGAGUUGCAAGGUGUACUCACUCACAUUCGCCGCACUCGCUUUCUGCAAUCAUCUCGCUGAAUAUGGAGGAUCUGAUUAAGGGCUUCGCCGGGGCUGUUCUUGAUCGCCUCGGCAAUGACGAAGAACCCGAUUCACUGUCCCGCAACGAACGCUCUAGAUCCACUUGGGCCGAGGUUGUGUCCGGAGAUCAGGAUAACGACGAAGGCGGGGGUGAUCGCAGACAUGGGUACGGUGGAAAUAACUGGAAUAAAGAGGAGCGAUCUCGUCCUGAGCAGCAGGAG